GACGAACGCUGGCGGCGUGCUUAACACAUGCAAGUCGAACGGAAAGGCCCUGCUUUUGUGGGGUGCUCGAGUGGCGAACGGGUGAGUAACACGUGAGUAACCUGCCCUUGACUUUGGGAUAACUUCAGGAAACUGGGGCUAAUACCGGAUAGGAGCUCCUGCUGCAUGGUGGGGGUUGGAAAGUUUCGGCGGUUGGGGAUGGACUCGCGGCUUAUCAGCUUGUUGGUGGGGUAGUGGCUUACCAAGGCUUUGACGGGUAGCCGGCCUGAGAGGGUGACCGGCCACAUUGGGACUGAGAUACGGCCCAGACUCCUACGGGAGGCAGCAGUGGGGAAUAUUGCACAAUGGGCGGAAGCCUGAUGCAGCAACGCCGCGUGCGGGAUGACGGCCUUCGGGUUGUAAACCGCUUUCGCCUGUGACGAAGCGUGAGUGACGGUAAUGGGUAAAGAAGCACCGGCUAACUACGUGCCAGCAGCCGCGGUGAUACGUAGGGUGCGAGCGUUGUCCGGAUUUAUUGGGCGUAAAGGGCUCGUAGGUGGUUGAUCGCGUCGGAAGUGUAAUCUUGGGGCUUAACCCUGAGCGUGCUUUCGAUACGGGUUGACUUGAGGAAGGUAGGGGAGAAUGGAAUUACUGGUGGAGCGGUGGAAUGCGCAGAUAUCAGGAGGAACACCAGUGGCGAAGGCGGUUCUCUGGGCCUUUCCUGACGCUGAGGAGCGAAAGCGUGGGGAGCGAACAGGCUUAGAUACCCUGGUAGUCCACGCUGUAAACGGUGGGUACUAGGUGUGGGGUCCAUUCCACGGGUUCCGUGCCGUAGCUAACGCUUUAAGUACCCCGCCUGGGGAGUACGGCCGCAAGGCUAAAACUCAAAGGAAUUGACGGGGCCCCGCACAAGCGGCGGAGCAUGCGGAUUAAUUCGAUGCAACGCGUAGAACCUUACCUGGGUUUGACAUGGAUCGGGAGUGCUCAGAGAUGGGUGUGCCUCUUUUGGGGUCGGUUCACAGGUGGUGCAUGGCUGUCGUCAGCUCGUGUCGUGAGAUGUUGGGUUAAGUCCCGCAACGAGCGCAACCCUUGUUCACUGUUGCCAGCACGUUAUGGUGGGGACUCAGUGGAGACCGCCGGGGUCAACUCGGAGGAAGGUGGGGAUGACGUCAAGUCAUCAUGCCCCUUAUGUCCAGGGCUUCACGCAUGCUACAAUGGCUGGUACAGAGAGUGGCGAGCCUGUGAGGGUGAGCGAAUCUCGGAAAGCCGGUCUCAGUUCGGAUUGGGGUCUGCAACUCGACCUCAUGAAGUCGGAGUCGCUAGUAAUCGCAGAUCAGCAACGCUGCGGUGAAUACGUUCCCGGG
rnacentral:rRNA from 1 species